rnacentral:lncRNA from 1 species
AUUCUCUGGUAACUUCUCUGUUCUCUUCUAAACAUAAGUUCAUUUACGCUACCUAUUAGGACAGCAGAGCUCAUUUUCUUUACAUAGAGGUUUUUUUCUUAUGGCAUAGCACAAUCCAAACAGUGGGCUAAGCAAGCGGUGGCUUCCAAGAAGGCAUUCAAAUACGAACAAAGUGUUCUGUGUCCUGUGAGCCUUCAUGUGUUUGAUUAAGUAGCCAUCACUUCUCCAGAAUGGACAAAUCCAUCACUUGGAAAUGAUGGAAAAAAAAGCCCUCCUGCUGCAUACUUUCACAAUUCUCAAAUGUGUACUCAAUCCAGCCCCAUACCUCUCUAUAGACUAAGUAUAUUUACUGAUUGGAGACUUAGAACAGGCAGUGCAGACGAAUGAAGCUAGCCUACCAUUAAUUUACUGCAUGUGCUUCUGAUAAACCAUUUUGUAGCCUUUCAUUUUACAGUUGAUCCAAGUAGAGUUCAAAAAGUCCCCCAAGCAUUUUAUCCCUCCAACUGCAUCCUACUCCAGAAUGUUAUGCACUCAAAGCAAGCCCCCGGUUUUCCUAUUCUUUCUCCUUGGCUCCUUCCUGCCAUACUAACUGACCCUGGGAUCGCAAAUCAGUUUCUUCUGAGCAGAGCUGUGCAAUGUCUGGACAGCAUUGAGCACUGACAGGACGUAUGAUUUGUUAGAGCUGAUUAGGUGGGGGCAGGGAAAAAUAAUUAUAUGGCCAUGGCUAGUUGCAAGCAGUGAUAAUGUGUCCUUGCUGCUUUUUUGACCCAUGAGUUCUGUAAUGUUUAGCCUCUGAUUCACAUAUAAUUAUCUUUCCUUUGAUCUCAGUGAGAAUGGUGUAGGAGAUCUUGACGAAUAUGUCCUGUGGGCAUUUGAAGUUUCACUCUCUGCUACUUUUACCUUACAGCAGAGUAAUAGUUUACUGGAGAUAAUUAUUAUUUUAAAAGAAUGGUUUUAUUGUAUAGUCUGAGUAAUGCUAUCUCUGUAGAUAUAAUUAUUUGGGUAAUCUUGUUAACAUGCAUGGUGGGUUUCCUCAGUAGAAAUCAGCGUGUCACAUAGGAAUAGUUUCAAAGGAGUCAUAAAUACCUUAAUGCGUUAAUGAUCCAUAUAUAGCAUAGUCUCUCUGUAGUCACUGACAGACACCAUAGUGAUCUCGGCAAAAACAAAUGGAUGUCUUUAUCCUGAAGUUCUUACCUAGAAUUGCACAGAAAUUAAAUGUAUGAAACCUGAAGUUGAAAGCCAGAAGUAACAUACAUGCAAGAAGUUCAUAGGUGCCUUGUUAGAAAAUAAAAGCUUUUGGAAGACUAUGGCCUAACCCUGCAGAGAGUGGUUGUGGAAAGCUUGUAGAGUUCAGUUCAUUUUUAUUCUUAUUUCUGUGCUAGAAUUUGUAAUGAAGUGAUGCAUGUGAAUAAAAGCUGGGCAGUUUUUUCCCUAAGAAAAAAUGAGGAAAAAUAGAAAAUAGAAUUAAUAGCAUCAAUUUUAUUAUUUUGCAUUUAGAAUACUUAAAUAUGAAAUAUUAAAAAUCCAGGGUAUUCUUAAGCAGUAUUUCAAUUACCAGCAGCUUUCCCUUUUUGAAUGCAGGAUAUCAGAGACUUGUUUACUCUUUUGGAGACCAAUAAUAUGUCAGCUCUGAGAUCAAUGCUGAUCUCUCUCAUGUUCAGUCCAAUCUAAUAUUAAACUGGAAAAAAUGGUAUUAUUUGAGUGGAGCAGGAUGAAUAACUCUUUCAGACAACCUAGUAAGUUUAUGGCUGGCUUAUUGCAUAGAAUGAAAUUCUAUCACAAGUAUUUAUAAUAAUAACAACUUGGAGGGACUUUUUUUCUUUCUAGUAAUUGGUAUACUUACCUGUUAUAGGAGAGCUUCAUGGUAUUCCCGUACAUCUUUAAUUCUUCCAGGGCUUGCCUGUAUCAAAAUGAAAUACCAUUAUAAGAUUUAGAACAAGCUGAUAAGAUGAAUAGCAGCAAAAUGCAGAAGUCAUGCAGUGACUUUUUAAUUUGAAGUGUGAAGUUGCCAAACUGCUCAGUAUGGUGCAUAACUUCUCACUUAAAUCGAGUCCAGUACCAGAGGGAUGGAAGAGAGUGAAAAUGAUCUUUAACAACACUUCAAAAAGUACAGACUAAUAAAUUGGAUUUAUGAAAUAAAAGCUGAAAUGAUUGAACUAGCAAAAUGUGUUGUAAAGAAGUGUUACCUCUAACUGAAAAAUUGCACGCCAGGACAUCAGUUGGGGUAGAAUGCAGGGUAGGCUUUUACAUAAAGCUGCUAUAAUUGGUUCAGCCCGUCAAGGACUUGAAAAACUUUUACAUGUCCUUUCUCACAGAAUACUUCCUGUGUGAUAAUAGGGGAGAUGCUCUUUUAGAUUAGUAAGAGACUAAAUAUAAGAAGCAAAGCUGUAAGAACUAAUAGUAAGGGAUUUUUGCUUUUUAUGCAUUCAUAUAUUAUCUGGGAAAGAAGGUGAAUGGUAAAAUGACAAAUUUGGAUGUUCCCAAAGUUAAUAGCAUAUUUAAAUGUAGAAAUUGAUAGAUGUAGUGGCAGAAGAUUAUGAAUCUUAAUGACUGGUCAGUUGCUGGGACAGGAUAUCUGUGUUAAUGUAAAUUAUUCAAAAGGAGAACAUACGGAUUCAGAAUUAGCAACUCUUAGUUCUGGAAACAGGCAUGUCAGCUGGGCAUGUGGUGAAGGGAAAUGUCUAACAAAGUAUCACUGUUUCUCCUCAAAUUCUAUGUGCACUUGCUUUAGAAAGGCCAUGGUAAAACCAGAAAGGGUAAGAGAAAUGUCAGGUUGAUCUUUUUUUCUUUACUUUUGGGAUAGGACUGUGCCUGUGAAAAGAAAUGGAAUGGUUUAGAAUGCUUCUGCGUGGAGAACAAAUGUGAAGAUAAUGGAUGCUGCAGUAUAAGGGGGCUGAUUAAAGCAAAUAGGGAAGAUUUUCUCACUGGGGAAUGGCUGAAAGUAUUUGGCAUGGAAUUUGAAACAAAUAGGGUUUUUCAGAAAAUGCGUAAUUAAUCAGGGAGUUCUCUUCUGCUGAACACUUAUUAAUAGUUUUAUAAGCCACCAGACAUAUACAGAUAAAUGCAUUGAGUGCUUUUUCAAAACAGUGGUUUACAUAAAGUCUGUGCUCGGCAGCUUCAACGCCACAGAUAACCAAUGAUGGGAAGCUAUGCAAGAAGUAACAGUGUGUAUUUGCUCUGAUUACUUGGUUUGAUAUUUUCCGUGGAAAUCUUUGAUAAAGUACCUCGUUUCAUCACUGAUGUUUGCUCUUUCUUGAAUGUGAGCUUCUGCUUGGUCACUCUGGUUAUUGAUUCAUCCUAGUUCAGGAAAAGGAUCCUGGUUUGGAGAUCCCAAGCAAUGUAUUUGACUAACUUGUAGUCUCUUGGUCAUGUGGCUCAUCUGCAUUCACGGGGAAGGGCUGUGCUCUUUGUGGGGAGACCCGGGGUGUAAUAAUGAGCCAUUCUGUGGCUGUGCAUAACGUUGUUGUCUUACAGGUGGAUGCUCAUAGUCAUCAAGUCCUCAAGAGCUUGUCGUACUGUGUAGCUGGAAACCGUGGGACUUCAGUCUGUGUGUUUUCAAUUUCUGCCUCUGUCUUCCUGGGAAGGACAGCAGUCACAACACCUCUAAUCAGUAUCCUAUCCCAGCUGGUGGCCGGCAGGUGGCAGCGCAGCGGCAGUUCCCAGGGCCUUAUCCCGUGCAACUUCUGUUUGGUACCACCGUAUGAGUUGCAUCCAAAUGAGAGACAAUAGAAGGCUGUCCUCCAAUUUAUGAUCUUUAUGGACAUGUGUUAGGCUGAAAUUCUUUGUGCUUUUCACAACAAAGAACAUAGAAGUUUCCUGUUGUCACUUGUCACAAUUCAGUGUAAGAUGGGUCAGAGGAAAAAAGGUAGGAUCCAAAUCCAUGGGAUUUAACGUAGUAAUAUUUGUUUUUAAUAAUUAAGUGGUUGGAUGUGUUUAAAAUGUACGGAAAGAAAAGAUGUUUACUUCUGAAUUAAUUGUGUAUCUAACUGUAAUGUAAUUAGAAUAUGUCAUUAAAUGUUCUGAAUGCACUCACAACAGAACAUCUCUUUGAAAACCAUGCUGUUAACAAAUGGGAAAAAUAUAAUUAAUGGUUUUUGGAGGUGACAUAGUACAACAAACUACCCAAACUGAUAACUUUCUGUUAAAUGGGAUGGUGCUGGAAAGAGUAUUUCAAAAGAAAACUGGUACAAAUCCCUCUCUCUACUCAUUCCUUCCACAAGAGAAACUGACAGAUUUUAUUGAUUUCCAUAGGCUUUUGUGUGGAUUAGUAUUCAAACCACUUGGAACUUAUCUAUUAAAUGUUCUCUAGCUGCUGUCUGUCAUAACACUGAAAACAGGACAAAAAUGCUUGAAGGAAAAGGGAGGGGCAUGGAAAACACUUCCACAUCACCUUGUCUUCCUUUUGUCCCUUGUGCAGAAUUUUAAUUCCAAACUCCAUGAACUAGAAGCUUGCUUUGUGGAUUGAAUCUUUUCUCAGCUUCUGUUGCUUGACCUGAAUUAAUCAAAACAGAAGAAUAUUCUGGUAAAAUGAGACAGUUUGUAGUAGUAGAAUGGACAAAUGAGUCCUGGUAACUCUAGGGUUGUCUAGCUUUGUUGCUGCUGUUUUCGUUUGCUAACAGUUUUUUAAAUUAAAAACAGAUUUUUAAUUCUUAAGUAUUCAAGUAUUCAGAGUGAUACAGAGGCUUCUUUUAAUCUUUGUUUUUAAGGAUCUGACUCAUGCCAUGUUCAUAUGUGGUGCUGGUUAAAUUCCAGAACUGGCAAUAAGCAGAUAUUCAGAACUGGAACUGCUAUCUAGGGAGGUUGCUCUGCUCUCCCUCCUGUCUUAAACUUCAUUGUUGACUCUCUCCUUCUUAUAUAUACUGUUUUUCGUUCACUGUUUUCAAGGAUGGUAGAAGUACAAAAACAUGGGAAUAAAUGGACUGAGAAGAAGAAUUAGACUGAAGCUGUUUUUUUCAGAUGGGAAGAAUGGGGAAAAGGGAAGCUUUUUUGCUUUAUUUUUUGUCUUACAUCAUUUAACCAAAACUUCAGUGUCUUUAACUGGCUGAUAGAUUGACAUAGCUGAGUUAAAGUCAAACUGUGCCUCAUACACUGUAUUUCUUAUCUGGACUCUUUUCUCAGCUGUGCUGGCAUAGCACAGCUCUAUAAACAUCUACAAUGAAGACUGUUGAAACUAUUUUACAGUACAACUGCACUUCAUUCUUCCCUGCUUAUGCAUUCAGGGGCAACUUUGUUGUUUUUUUAAGAUGUCGCAUUAUAGUGCAAAUGUGCUCAAUUGGGUAUAAAUGAUGCAUUUUAAGUUCUUGCAUCAAAAAAUUACCAUAACAUAGGUCACGCAGUGCAGACUCGUG